rnacentral:snRNA from 1 species
UUCUCUUCUCUGUCGUUCGGCUAAGAUCAAGUGUAGUAUCCAUUCUUAUCAGUCUGCUAUCUAAUACAUCCCCGAACUGGAGAACAUGAAAUACGUUUGUGGAAAUACGUUUGUGUCCUUUUGCGAGGACACAUCCUCUGUGGUCUGUGAGUGGAGAUGUGUCUUAUGUU